rnacentral:lncRNA from 1 species
AAGGGCAAGAGCCCAUACAACACCACACAAACCCACACACACACACCCACACAAAUAGACUCUAGGAUUACAUUCGAGCCGGAGACACCAAAACAUAAGACGACCACGACUGAGCUAGACACUCUAACUACCAGGGAGGAGGGCAGCCAAGAAAGAAAGCCCUCGAGCCCCAGCCAUAGACCACAGGCGGCGUUCCUCGCCAGCCAAGAUGAGCGCUUUGGCAAGGUUCGGGGCCGCUCCAUCAAAAACACAACUAUUACGAUGGUUCCAAAUAGUCCAAGCUCCAAGA